rnacentral:sRNA from 1 species
GCCACUAGGAAUUUAUACUAGGUUUUACAUAUAAAUUCCCUCUCAUUAUUUCUUCUGCUUUCAUCUACGGUGGAGAUAUAUCAAUUCCCUUCUGACUGAGUUCACCUGCUAUAUCAGCACAGGAUUUCUCUCUCCCAUAUCAAUCAUGGUGUACCUUGGCGAGGAUAUGUUCUUGGGCUGACUGCUGUUUUGUGGGUCGUCCAGAGCGAGGAGCAUCUUUUAAUCAGUCAUCACAGAUAUAAAGAUAGGAAAGAUCUGGAUUAAAGCCACAAUCUUGAGCAGUUCUAUAGAUACAAUUGAUGGUUUGAAUAGAUAGCUGAGUGAAAUUGCUGAUUUCUUUUGUAGUUUUACCACCAAAAGACUUCAGAGCCACUAUCACAGCACAGGUUG